ACGGCUCAGUAACACGUGGAUAACCUGCCCUUGGGUCCGGCAUAACCCCGGGAAACUGGGGAUAAUUCCGGAUAACGCAUAUAUGCUGGAAUGCUUUAUGCGUCAAAUGGAUUCGUCUGCCCAAGGAUGGGUCUGCGGCCUAUCAGGUAGUAGUGGGUGUAAUGUACCUACUAGCCGACGACGGGUACGGGUUGUGAGAGCAAGAGCCCGGAGAUGGAUUCUGAGACAUGAAUCCAGGCCCUACGGGGCGCAGCAGGCGCGAAAACUUUACAAUGCGGGAAACCGUGAUAAGGGGACACCGAGUGCCAGCAUCAUAUGCUGGCUGUCCGGGUGUGUAAAAUACACCUGUUAGCAAGGGCCGGGCAAGACCGGUGCCAGCCGCCGCGGUAACACCGGCGGCCCGAGUGGUGAUCGUGAUUAUUGGGUCUAAAGGGUCCGUAGCCGGUUUGGUCAGUCCUCCGGGAAAUCUGACGGCUUAACCGUUAGGCUUUCGGAGGAUACUGCCAGGCUUGGAACCGGGAGAGGUAAGAGGUACUACAGGGGUAGGAGUGAAAUCUUGUAAUCCCUGUGGGACCACCUGUGGCGAAGGCGUCUUACCAGAACGGGUUCGACGGUGAGGGACGAAAGCUGGGGGCACGAACCGGAUUAGAUACCCGGGUAGUCCCAGCCGUAAACGAUGCUCGCUAGGUGUCAGGCAUGGCGCGACCGUGUCUGGUGCCGCAGGGAAGCCGUGAAGCGAGCCACUUGGGAAGUACGGCCGCAAGGCUGAAACUUAAAGGAAUUGGCGGGGGAGCAC
rnacentral:rRNA from 1 species